rnacentral:lncRNA from 1 species
GUGUAUUUUUAAUGAUAUAUAUAUGAGUAGUCAAAAUAAUUAUUACGUCUGGCAAGGCUUUUUUAAUUUUAUUCUGGGACACCUUUCUAUGACCGCAAGGCUAUGUUAAUUUUUUUUCUGGGACGCCUUCCUAAGAACUUCGUAGGAAGACGUCACAGAAAAAAAAUAAAAUAGCCUUGCCAGACGUCAUAAUUAUUUGGACUAAUACAUGAGAUAUUGGAUAUUUUUAUGCAUUAUUUAAACCAGUUGAGCAUUUUACAGGAUUG